rnacentral:lncRNA from 1 species
AUGACUUUUUUGGGAGAUGGUGAUUUGCCAGUAAUGGCUUUCUUCACCUUGGCAAUUGAAUGCUUGACUUUUGAUCCAACGCCUGAAAGUAUGUUGUGAGAUUUCUUAUGAGCUACUUUGAUGUCUGCAUCUCCAAUAUCCACCAUGACUGGUGCUUCAGAAGAUAAGUCUGAUUUUGUGUGUUCAUGUGAUUCCUCUUCAUCCUCGUCAUUGUUCUCUUGAGUUGCCUUUUUUUCAUCAUCUGCCAAUGAAGAUUCAGGCUUCCCUUCGAUUUUCUUAUUUCCGCAUUCCUCUUCUUCUUCCUCAACUUUAGAAGCUUUCACUACUUGAUUGUCGCCAUCUAGGUUCUCAGGAAUCAAAUUCCUGGUAUCAUGCAGGACAUGCUUAUCUUUCAAGGAAGGCGCUGCCUCAUUUUCUGAUGUUUUGACUUUUUUGUCAUCUUGAGCUGUAUCCUCAACACAACUUUGAUGAAUGCUUGAUUCUGUAGCUGCACCAUCGACACUUUCUAACUGACUGGGGAUAUGUUUGUCUUCUUCAUGGAUGUCCCCACUAUCCCUUCCCACUUUCUGUUCUUCUGUUUCUUGCUCUGAGACUGAGACAGCUUCAUUUUGAAUUGCUUUUGUUUCCUGUCCUUGGAUGGUCUCCAUUCUUUCUUCUGGAUUAUGCUGUUCGCUUUGAAUAUUCACCUCAUCAUCUUUUUCUGCCAUUUUCACUUCAGUAUCUGAUUCUUCUGGCAAGUCAUCAAGUUUGGUUUGUUGGUUUUUGGGCUCCAGUGGUGUACUUUCUCCUGAAGUUUCCACUGGUGUGGAGGUGUCUGCCAUCUCUGUGCAUUUAUCAUUCAAUUCUUCAACCUCUUUACUUUCUAAUCCAGUUGCUUCUGGAACUGGAACAGCAGCCCCCAAAUCAAUCCCAGCUUCUGCUUCAGCAUCCUCUGAGGGUUGUUCUUUUAGUGAAAUGUCUUCACAUUCUGUGAUUUUUUCUUCAGAAAACUUUUUUGUAGUGGAUUUUUCACUGUCUUCCUGCCCAACAUCACUAAUUGCACAUUCUGAUAUAUCUUUGGUUUGAGAUGAUAAAUCAAACUUCUGAGCCUCAACAUAGGCUUCUUCAUCUUCCUCCACACUUUUACUUUCUGAAAGUAUCAGAUUUUCCUGCAGAGUAGAUGUCUAAUUAGAAAAUGGUUAACAUCAAUUCCUUAAUGAUGAAUAUGGGUGUAUGCAGUAUGCUAUAUUCCUUUUACCUCAUCUUUUGCCUGCACUUCAUCUGACCUGCAGAUUUCAUCUUCCUUGUUCUGUUCCUCACUUUCCCUCCCAGGGAUUACUGCUAUUUGAACAGCCUACACAUAUUAUAGGCUAUUAACAUAGUACUCAAAGUAUAUUUGGUGAACCUGUAAUUUCCUAUGUAUUACGAGUGCCAUGCUUCAGAAUGGAAAUCAAUGUUGAGAAAGUGAACUUAAAUGAACAUACCUCUUUGUUUGAAUCUUGAGUGUCUGUUUUCACACAUGAAAUGUCCAACUCACGAGCAUUUUCAUUGUCUAUUUUAGUUGUAGGCUCCUUAAUGCUCGUUACCUGCUCUUCUUGGUGGAGGAUGUUGUCAUUUGCUUCAUUCGUAACUAUCUUUUCUUCUAGGUCUUCUGGAGCCUUGUCAUCGGCUUCUUCAGAAACUUCUGGUACCUGCUCAAUGAAUGGCAUUUCAACGUCAUAAGAUGCUGAGCUUUAUCAAGAAAACAGAGUAUGUAUGUUCUUACAGUUUCGGUAUCAUUUUCAUUGUUUGUGAACUCGUAUGUUUCUUUGCUGUUUAACUGUUGAUCUUGCAUAACCUCAUCUUCUUGGUGACUAUCUGUGAUUACCUCUUCCUCACAAGAACCUUGAUGAUAAUCUUUUAUAUCUUCGUGUUCCUCCUUGAUCUGCAUAUUGUAUCAUUUUGUUAGGGCUUAAUGUUCAUCUAACGGAAGGAACAAAGGUACUUGUAAAAGAUGCAGGAGAUUAGAAGAGUUUACUCUUGGUAAUUGUUCCUUCUCGCUUGAAAUGUCGCUCUUCAUGAUUUCUUUCUCAAUCGUAGUUUCUUCUUGUACUAUUUCCUCUGUUACAUCUUUGUCAGAUUGUAUUCCUGCUUUUGCUCUAAGAUCUUCUUCCUCUGUUUUAGUCUCUUCUGUUUCUGAAAUUAUGUCAAAACUUUGACCUUGGGCAAUAGAUUCGAGGCUCCUGGUAUUGGACUCACAUUCUCCAGGCGUAAAUGCAACUUCAUUUGAGUCCGACUUUUCCUGAGUCAAGCUACCAACGUAGUUGGAGUUUUCCUCGACACUUUUAUCUCAGCAUCUUGACCUUCUGUAGAUGAGGGAGUUGUCUCUUUGAUUGCAGGAGCUUCUUCUUCAUUUUUGGUUUCAAGGUCUGUAACAGAGUAGGAUGCCAAGUCUUCCUCUAAUGCCACAUUGGAUGUUGAGACUUCCUCUGAUGCCACAGAGAUGGGGCUGCUUGCAAUCUCUUUAGAGUUAUUUGAAUCUAUUUCUUCUUCACCAUUAACCUCCUUCGAUUCCGAGACAUCCUCAGAAGCAGCAAAGUUAGGCAGUGCCUCUUGUUUAAAUAGCUCUGCUUCCUUUUCUCCAUUUGGAACAUGGACCUCUGUUUCUGCCAAAGAUUCACUUGUUGGUACUGCAGUGGGGCCAUCAUUCAGCACUUGUAUUUUGUCCAAGUCACCACAACUAUUUGCUUCUCCAACAACUUGUUGGUUAUUUUUGUCCGAGACCUCAGAUUCCAUGCCGGUACUAUCUAAUACAUGCUCGUUGCUUGUCAUCAUAUGUUCUUCUGACACUUUCAUGACCGGUGAAUCCUGUUGCUUGCAAUUGCUAACUACAGGAAUAUGCCCAAUGACAUCUUUGUUAACAUCCAAAUCUUCGUCUGUUAAGUUUAAGCUCCUUCUUUCCUGUUCAAAAAGAGUUUUUCAGAUAAAUUUUAAGAAGGGAGCAAACAAUAACAGAAACAUUUGAAAAAUUUGCUUCGGAUCAGAUUACUUGCCUGAUUAGAUGCUACUGUUACUGCAGUUGUCAUUUGAACAGCCUUGAAACCUUCUUCCUCCUCUGUUUCUCUUUUAGCAUCAACACUUUCCAUCUCUUUGGGCACCUGUAGAUCCCCAUAAAUGGUGAAUCACUGAUGUCAAACUUUGUAUAAAACAUUGAUUUUCAAAUCAAAUUACUACAAUUACUCACAGUGUACGUCAACUUUGUUAUUCCAAAACUUGUUUACUAUAGAAUAUAAUAGAUCUGUGUUUCAACAUUGCGUAAACUAAUUUUGUGAUAACGGAUUACUUAAGUUCAGAUGAUAAAUAUAAUUAUCAGUUUCAAUAUAACAAUUUGUUCUGGGACAAAAUGCACACAUAAACAAAUUGUGUAUGAGUAUAUAUACUGACCUCAUCCUUAGGAGUUUCAUUUUCAAAGACUGUUGGAUCAAUUGUUUUGUCCUCUUCAUUGUCAUUGAUGCGUGCUCCAGGACUUGCACAUAGGAUUUGUUCUUCUUGAGAAUUUGUUUCUCUAACUUCACUUAAACAAGGUUCUUCUCUAUCCUCAGAUGCUAUUUGUGGUAACUCAAUGGACACAUCUUCCUUUAUCAAUGUAGCUUCGGUGUUCUGCUCAUUUGGUGAGGCACCUUCCUGUGGAACACUUUUUGCAAUAUCCUACAAUAUGAAUAGAAAGAGAUUACGAAUCGUGUAAAGUUUGAAGAAUGAGUUUUGUUUUUCAUAUUCUUUAAGCUUGCUAUUACUUUCAUCUACAUGAUAGAAUAAACUUCAAGUAGUAGAGUCCAACUAAAAUUACCUGAGCCUCUUGAAUUUCCUCGCCUAUUGCAUCAUCAAUCUUUUCUGUUAUUUUGUUACUUGAGGUAUCUUCUGGAUCUAGGAUUUGCUCCACAGUGGAACUUCUUUCUGUGUCUUGACAUGGAGCAAAUGCCUUGAUAUCCUCAGCUGCUACUUGAAAGGAGUCAAUAGGAUCCUCAACCUCUGCUACUUCCUCAACCAACGUGCUUUCUGUGAUGUCAUCUUCUCGAUCAUCUGAUAAUGAUGUGCUUUCGCUAACCUUUACCAAAUGUUCUUCCUGUUCCAGUAGUAAUCCAUCUACUUGGUUUCGGGAAUCUUCUGUAGUGUCCUCAUCUGGAGUGGCUGCAAAGUUCUGCAUCCAAGUACAAAACAUUUGUUCAAUAUGUUUAUCUUGCAGAGAUAAAUUCUUGUUAACUUUUUUCCAGCAUAACAUAGCAAUUGAUUUUUCCAAAAUUUGUCCACUAAUUUUUUGAUAAUAAAGUCAGCUUACUACUAUGAUUCUCACCUUAUCCUCAAGAGUUUCUUUCUUGAGAUCAGUUGAAUCAAGUGUUUUUGUACAUUUUUCGUCAUAUAUGGUUUCAUGAGAAUCUGUAGUCGGGGCUUGCUCUUCUAAAUGGCUUGCUUCUCUAUCUUGACCUGAAGAAGUAUCUUUAAUAUCCUCAUCUGCUGCCUGCAAUGACUCAAUAUGUACUUCUUCCUUUACCGGAGCACAUUCUAUUUUUUCCUCAUCUUCAUGCAAGUUGGCUUUUACAGUGUUUUCAUAUGCAAAUUUGGCCUCAUGGGUAGUAGUUGGUUUAUCGUCGUUGAACUUUUCUGCUGGAACUUCUUCAGAAGAAGAUUCUUGUAAGCCAUCCACUUGAAUUGGUGACUUAUCCUCGCUGUCUUCAUUUGGAACGCUUAUUACGGCAUCCUGCAAUGAUAAUAACUUAAGAACGUGAUUGAGCUAAAAGAAGAAAUAUAUUAUUGAGUUCUCUUUUCAUUAAGAACACAUAGGUGUUAAUUAUCCUUGUUUGUCUUUAAACUACUUAACAACAAUUGAUAGUGCCCUUUCUACUUCUUCUUCAGGACUUACAUUGUUUUUGUUAGCAGCAUCAACUGUUUUUUUCUGUGUUUCAUCACAUGUCUCUUGUGGAUCAGCAGUUAGGAUUUGCACCUCAGUAGGCAUUUCCACUUUUUCUUCUUCUUUGACUGGACCACUUUCAGUGGACGACACCAUUGGAGCUUCCGAAGAAG